AGGUAAUAAGGUAGGCUUUGUAACAGGACAACCAACUUAAAGGAGUAUUAAAAUAAAACAAAAUUUGGACAUUAAAUAUGAUCGUGACAUUCAAAACCGCAUAUAUGUUUAUUUUAUUGGAUGACUCAGCAUGAUGAGGUGUUAAGCACAACAGAAGAGGAGGGCAUGGCAGAAAUAUCUUUGUACCGUUGCAACACACAUAAAAGUUGCUGUGUUGAAGCUCCUCAUAAUGUCCGAUAUUGAAAAAUACAGUAGGGCAGCUUCAUGCGCCGACCACGAUAUCAUCUCCCUUGAAUUGUGCCACAAGGCACCAACCUGGAUAGAACUGUGUUGGGCUUGAAGGAAAACUGGGAUUCAGUUAAUGAUAAUAGGAAGGAUUUUUAUCAUUAACAACAGCCACACGGACUAUGCAGUACACCCAUUCUUCUAGUCAGUCCUAGAGUCCUUUUUCAAAGGAUAUAUCACCUGGAGCAUGAAGAUGAUCACUCACCUCCAUCCAAUGUUGAGAAAGGGUGGAUGGAAUGUUACAUCCCUUCUUCCAGACACCUUCAAACCAUGAUCCUUAUGGAAAGAGAGAAUUUUACAUUCACCGUUACCUUAAUGAAAUGGGUAACCAAUGUCUAUUAAGGCAUGACAUCUGACACAUUGAAGGAGCCGAAAUAUCACUCAUCACAUCCUGGACUUCAAAACUGCUGAGAAUUUCUUCUUCAGUACAAUCCAUUAGGCAUCAGGACUGGAGCUAUGUAAGAGCAUGACUGCAAUACCAAUAAUAAAAGUCACAAAUUAGCAAGUAAAUUCAAAUCUACUUGAACUUACCUAAUAUGCUGUGUAUAAGAUAAGAAAGUAUGUCUUAUUAAGAAAUGAUGAUCAAAUUGUAUCUUAGUUUUAGAAUGUAAACUAGACCCAUGAAAAUUAAACAUGUCUUCAUUAUGAGUAAAGUCCGUCAGUGAAGCUGACCCCGAGUUAGGUGAAUGUAAUUUACGUUACCAGUACCAAUUUAUUAGGUCAUGUUUUACCAAUGCAUGGCACUUCCUGGGGUACCAGGAGAAGGCAUCCAGAAAUGGACAUAAGCUGGAAAUCAGGUUGGAUGCUAACAACUACUCACCAUAACAGAACUAGCAAAUUAAGAACAUUUACACAGUGCUAAUUUUUUAACUACCUGUUGGUAUAUCUGAAGGGCAUAAAUCACUAAAAGAAAGAAAGGCAACAUGCAGUAUGAGGACUAGUGUUUUAUUAAAGUGCUUGCAACAACAGAUCAGCACAUAUUUGAAAUUUUUUAGUGUACCAGCAACUUCUAGUGUCAAUGACCUCCUCUUCUGCUUUUAAAAAUUACAGCAAUUUUCAGAUACAUCUGUAAACAUUAUAAAACACUUAUGUUGAACUGUAAUAAGUAAUAUCUGCAUAAAUCACAGCAUUACGUGUCUCAUUUGAUUAUAUAAUGCAUUCCACUCUUUCUAACAAAUUGACUGUGGCCAAAUCUUUAUAGGAAAUGUUGUGCUUGAUUCUAGGAGUGGAACAUUAUCCUUAUACUUGCUACAUGUAAUUAAGAACCAAUUUUGCCAUGUACAUCUGUUCUGAACCGUUCAUGACAUUAAAUGGACAUCUCUUCCAAAAUUAAAUUCCUCAUAUAUUCAACAGACAUUUUCUUUAUGACCUGUGCGCCUUGUAGUUCAGUACAUACAUAACAAUAUCCUUUGUGUAGAUGCGUGUGUCCAUCUAUGAAUAAUACAUAUUUGAAGUCAGUAUGACUUUCCAAUCAUUUAUAAACUUCUUAAAAAAAUAAAUAAAUAAAUACAGAAUGAAUUUGA